AUUGAACGCUGGCGGCAGGCCUAAUACAUGCAAGUCGGGCGAGGGGCGGACGGGUGAGUAACGUAUGGGGCCCUCCUUGAUGGCUGGGGAUAACUACUGGAAACGGUAGCUAAUACCGCAUACCAUCAGCUGAACCCAUAGUGGAUUAGCUAGUAGGUAAGGUAACGGCUUACCUAGGCGACGAUCCCUAGCUGGUCUGAGAGGAUGAACGGCCACACUGGAACUGAGACACGGCCCAGACUCCUACGGGAGGCAGCAGUGGGGAAUAUUGCGCAAUGGGCGAAAGCCUGAUGCAGCAAUGCCGCGUGUGUGAAGAAGGCCUUCGGGUUGUAAAGUACUGUCAGUAGGGAGGCGUUACCGACAGAGGAAGCACCGGCUAACUCCGUGCCAGCAGCCGCGGUAAUAC
rnacentral:rRNA from 1 species